GCUGGCGGCGUGCUUAACACAUGCAAGUCGAACGAACCUUCGGGUUAGUGGCGGACGGGUGAGUAACGCGUGAGAAUCUGCCCUCAGGAGGGGGAUAACGGUUGGAAACGACCGCUAAUACCCCAUAUGCCUACUGGUGAAAUGAAUUUCGCCUGAGGAUGAGCUCGCGUCUGAUUAGCUAGUUGGUGAGGUAAUGGCUCACCAAGGCUUCGAUCAGUAGCUGGUCUGAGAGGAUGAUCAGCCACACUGGGACUGAGACACGGCCCAGACUCCUACGGGAGGCAGCAGUGGGGAAUUUUCCGCAAUGGGCGAAAGCCUGACGGAGCAACGCCGCGUGAGGGACGAAGGCCUCUGGGCUGUAAACCUCUUUUCUCAAGGAAGAAGAUAUGACGGUACUUGAGGAAUAAGCCACGGCUAAUUCCGUGCCAGCAGCCGCGGUAAUACGGGAGUGGCAAGCGUUAUCCGGAAUUAUUGGGCGUAAAGCGUCCGCAGGCGGCUUUUCAAGUCUGCUGUUAAAGCGUGGAGCUUAACUCCAUCAUGGCAGUGGAAACUGAAAGGCUUGAGUAUGGUAGGGGCAGAGGGAAUUCCCGGUGUAGCGGUGAAAUGCGUAGAUAUCGGGAAGAACACCAGUGGCGAAGGCGCUCUGCUGGGCCAUUACUGACGCUCAUGGACGAAAGCCAGGGGAGCGAAAGGGAUUAGAUACCCCUGUAGUCCUGGCCGUAAACGAUGAACACUAGGUGUCGGGGGAAUCGACCCCUUCGGUGUCGUAGCUAACGCGUUAAGUGUUCCGCCUGGGGAGUACGCACGCAAGUGGUGAACUCAAUGUAAUGCG
rnacentral:rRNA from 1 species